AUUGAACGCUGGCGGCAGGCCUAACACAUGCAAGUCGAGCGAGCGACGGACGGGUGAGUAAUGUAUGGGGACUGCCCGAUAGAGGGGGAUAACUACUGGAAACGGUGGCUAAUCCCGCAUACUAUCGGAUAACCCAUAUGGGAUUAGCUAGUAGGUGGGGUAACGGCUCACCUAGGCGACGAUCUCUAGCUGGUCUGAGAGGAUGAUCAGCCACACUGAGACGGAGACAAGGCCAAGACACCUACGGAGGCAGCAGUGGGGAAGAUUGCAGAAUGGGCGCAAGUCUGAUGCAGCCUAUCCGCGUGUAUGAAGAAGGCCUUAGGGUUGUAAAGUACGUUCAGCAGGGAGGCGUUACCCGCAGAAGAAGCACCGGCUAACUCCGUGCCAGCGGCCGCGGUAAUAC
rnacentral:rRNA from 1 species